CCUACGGGAGGCAGCAGUGGGGAAUAUUGGACAAUGGGCGAAAGCCUGAUCCAGCCAUGCCGCGUGUGUGAAGAAGGUCUUCGGAUUGUAAAGCACUUUAAGUUGGGAGGAAGGGUAGUAACUUAAUACGUUGCUACUUUGACGUUACCGACAGAAUAAGCACCG
rnacentral:rRNA from 1 species